AUGUGGAUGCAAUCAAUUACCGACAAUAUCACGAGUGGAGGAUCCGAGAAGGGCUUCGGCAAAUGUCGAUGGAUCAGAAUCUUCCACAUGAUCUUUAUUUGUUUCCCGAGGCUUAUCCCAUCCUUGCCCUGUGAAGCAGAAAUGGACAUUCAACCUUAUAAGAAAAUUGCUGUUAGAGCAGGGACGUAUAUAUAUAACCACAAGAUAGAUAUUGCUGUAACAAGUACUCAGAAAUUCUGCCUAUGUAUUUCUUCUGAAAAAGCUGCUGUGUCAUUCUACAAUCUAUCUGUUCGCGUAGUGUAG
rnacentral:rRNA from 1 species